rnacentral:rRNA from 1 species
GAUGAACGCUAGCGGCAGGCUUAAUACAUGCAAGUCGAGGGGUAGCAAGAUUGUAGCAAUACAAUUGUUGACGACCGGCAAACGGGUGCGGAACACGUACACAACCUUCCUACAAGUGGGGAAUAGCCCAGAGAAAUUUGGAUUAAUACCCCGUAANAUAGCGAUGUGGCAUCACAUUGCUAUUAUAGCUUCGGCGCUUGUUGAUGGGGUGUGCGGCUGAUUAGAUAGUUGCGGGGUAACGGCCCACCAAGUCUACGAUCAGUAGCUGAUGUGAGAGCAUGAUCAGCCACACGGGCACUGAGACACGGGCCCGACUCCUACGGGAGGCAGCAGUAAGGAAUAUUGGACAAUGGAC